rnacentral:lncRNA from 1 species
ACAAGAAAAUAAAAUAAAAAAGGAGGGAGCAGCCGAUAGCUCUAGCCGACGGAGAAGAAAUAGAUGAAAAAGAGAGAGAGAAAGGAGCAGUCAGCCGAUGGAAAAUAGGUUCAUCCGAUAAAAAAACAGAAAGAAAGAGAGAAGGGUGGCAUCGGCCGAUGGUAUUUCUGAUUAAAAAAAAGAAAAGAAAAAAAGGGUGGUAUCGGCCGAUGGAAAAGUGGUUCAGCCGAUUAAAAAUUGCAUCGGUUUUCGGCUGAUUUAUUGCAAAGUAGUGUCGGCUGAAUAAGAG